rnacentral:rRNA from 1 species
UACGGAGGAUGCGAGCGUUAUCCGGAUUUAUUGGGUUUAAAGGGUGCGUAGGCGGACGCUUAAGUCAGCGGUAAAAUUGCGGGGCUCAACCUCGUCGAGCCGUUGACACUGGGUGCCUUGAGUGGGCGAGAAGUACGCGGAAUGCGUGGUGUAGCGGUGAAAUGCAUAGAUAUCACGCAGAACUCCGAUUGCGAAGGCAGCGUACCGGCGCCCAACUGACGCUGAAGCACGAAGGCGUGGGUAUCGAACAGG